GGAUGUUAGAGCGAUCUGAGUGCGGCAUCUGUCAAUUUGGCUGUUGAUUGGGCUGAUCUUGCUGGCUAGGUGGGUGUCCCUUUCCUCUGUCAUUGCUCCAUUUGCCUGCCUCCCUCCAAGAGGAAGAACUUCCCUGAAUAAAGGGACUGGUCUUCAGCUAAGAGUAUAAGAGUAGCUGUACUCCACUGCUAGAACCUCCAAAAAAGCUCUCAAAAUUUUUAAUUUUAAUUAAUUAAUAAUAAAAAUAGACUUUCCCCAAUUCACACCAGAGAAAAAAAUCUC
ensembl:misc_RNA 7SK 7SK RNA